GUAGUUGAACGUUCGGGUUCCGCGGGACGGGGCCGCCCCGCGAGGGACGGCGCCGCCCCGGGGCUCGUGAUAUCUCAUCUCGCCGCCCGUCGCGAGGCGGACGGAGGGAUGGAUGAGGUUACCUGGAAAAAAUCGGGGCGAUCUAGGCGGGCGAACCUCGCCAACGAACGAUCGGACAUGGGAUAACGGAAGAGGGCGUCGGCUCGACUUCGUCGGUUCCUCGGGGCCGAGGCACGUACGGUGAAUAGGGACGGUCGGGGGCCGCCCCGUUACCGGGUCGUGAGAGGUGAAAUUCUAGGAUCGACCCGAGACGAACCGCCGCGAAAGCAUUCGGCAAGGACGCUUUCAUUAAUCAAGAACGAAAAGUCGGGGGAUCGAAGACGAUCAGAUACCGUCGUAGUCCCGACCGUAAACGAUGCCGACCGAGGCCCGGAGGAGUUACGUACGACCUCCGGGCCUCCGCGAGAAAUCAGGAGUAUUC
rnacentral:rRNA from 1 species